AAGCGUUGGAUUGUUCACCCACUAGACGUGUGGAUGCCUUCAAUAACCGGUGCGUUGUUUGACUGUAAGGGGCAUAUACAAAUUGUAUUUGGUAGUAAACAAUUGUAUAGCUCUUGAAAUUGAACUCUGUCGCUGGACAAUGUUGGCAUUCUUUUAUAAAACAGACUUGGUGGGAAUAGCGAUGCUAUUCAACGUAAGUGUAAUUGACGGAUAAUCGCUAGUCGACUCAGUGAAAUGUGCAGGUGCUGAGCGGCAAGAUAACCUGGAUCGGGGAAAGCUAAGGACUACUUGUAUUUUCAUGUUGUAGUCUAUGCCAAUCCCGAGCAGAGCACCCAGAGAGUGAUCUUUGGUGUUGCCUGUGUAACGCGCGGUAAGGUAUCGGUUCAUCUCUAGAAAUAGAGUGGGCUUAAGGGACGUGCUACUCCCAUUCGAAAGAAUGCUUUGUACUGGAGCGCCUGCAACGCAAAGGUAUAGAGGGUCGUGCUCUUCGGACGAGAGACUAGUAGGAAAUGACUAGUCAAGACCGGUAUAAAGGAAUAGGGAACGUGAGCUGGGUUUAGACCGUCGUGAGACAGGUUAGUUUUACCCUACUGAUGGAGUGUUAUCGUAAUAGUAAUUGAACUUAGUACGAGAGGAACCGUUCAUUCAGAUAUUUGGUAUUUGCGCCUGUCCGAUCGGGCAAUGGCGCGAAGCUAUCAUCUGCUGGAUUAUGGCUGAACGCCUCUAAGCCAGAAUCCGUGCUAGAAACGAUGAUGUUGGUCCCGCACAUUUGACUUGUGUUANAAUAGAGCUUUGCUCGUGUACCAAAUCAGGUGGACUGGGCUGUCAGUGUGGAAAUGCAUUGGCAGUUUGUUCACGAAUUGUAAUCAUUAUAUGGGCGGGGGUGAAUCCUUUGCAGACGACUUGAAUGGNNNNNN
rnacentral:ncRNA from 1 species